CAGGAGUUCUUUUUUGUGCUGACUUUUGGCAACUUCAGUUAUGUUUUCUUUCUUGGUUUGACUUGAAGUUUCUUGUUUUCUUAUUGGAAAGUCUCAAGAGGAUAGAGGGCAUAUCUCUGCAGUGAUCUCUGGAUAAGUGUUCCUUUCCUGUUUCUAUCAUAUUCCUUGUGGCAAGGGUUUCUUGGUCAUUUACACCAAUGCCAUCUCCACUCAAGGCUUGUCUACCACUGAUUUUCUGCCUGCCAUAUCUGGUCUACCACCACUGCAACCAACUGGUCUAAUGAUUAUGGCCACUAAAGUUCAGAACAAGCCGCAAUUAAUGGCAGGUCUACCCCAAGUGUACCAUCUUCCACAAUUAAUUGUGUAGCCCUGCUGAGCUGGAUUGGAG
ensembl:lncRNA